rnacentral:tRNA from 1 species
UGGGGUGUAGCUCAGUGGCAGAGCACUUGCCUAGCGUGUGUGAGGCCCUGAGUUCUAUCCACAAAACUUCAA